rnacentral:snoRNA from 1 species
CACUCCAACCCCCAACAUCUGUGCAGGAAAGGAUAAGAGAGGUGAGAUGCUUAUGGGAUAAAUGAAAAUUGCCAUGAUCUGAAGAGGGAGGACUUGGUCUGUGUGUCCUCCUCCCAUAUGAAGUGGCUGGGCAGGAAAAA